rnacentral:lncRNA from 1 species
UUUUCCUAUUUGUUGAAGGAAAGAACAAUAUAAUUACCUUAAUUGGGUUUUCCUUUUUGUAGAAGGAAAUUAUAAUUCUCCUAUACUUGGCUAGUCCUUUUUCUUGUAGGAAAAGGUUUGGAGUUCUAUAAAUUGAAGAUCCGUCCUUCUCAUUCAGUAGCAUCCACAAUGUAGCCAUAGGGGCUUGAGAGUAGUGUUUAGGGGAGAACUUUACGGGACAAGUGUUAGUGUGUCACUUGUGUUUGCCUCUUCGUGAGGUUGUUCUCUCUAUAUUUUGUACUCUCUUUUUAUAUAGUGGAUUGCUCAUCUCCGUUGUGGACGUAGGUCAGUUGACCGAACCACGUUAAAUGUUUGUGUCUCUUUUGGUAUAUUUCUUUUUGUUGUAUGAUUUAUCGUCGUUCAAGGUUUGUUUUGCUAGCUUCCGCAUGACACCUGAUUUUUCACAGUGAUUGAUAACUUAACUCCAACCUAUUGACAACUUUAAGUAAAAUCAAUAUCUUUUCCAGCCUACUCUAGUGUUUAGUUUUAUAAACUAUUAGAGUUAGUGUGAAAUUGAACGAGGACCCUUUAUAUUAUUAUUGUCUAAAUUACCCUAUGUUCUUAACAAUUGACUAUCUGAUAUUCUUGAUGAGAAGAUAGUUGUCACUAUACUUCUAUAGUUUCUUAUGAACCCUGCUCUAGUGUUUAGUUUAGUGAUAGUAUCUUCAAUGGAGAUUGUUUCACUUCUCUCAUAUCGUAGGAGCUCUUGUUUCAUCAUUUUUUUGCCUCUUAUGUAUGUAAAUGUAAGCUCGAAAAAGAUGGCUUUUCUUUUAGACUAUGCUAGAAGAUGAUAAUCCUUGUAUAGUAGAAAGCCAAUAUUUCUUUUGGAUUUUGGGGAUAAUUUGAUCUAUUACUUAUUGCUCCUUCUUUUCCUUGGUGUCUUAAAAUUUUAAUAACAAUAUAUGUUUUCCUCUCUGCAGCUUGAGAUUCCUUCAUGGAACUCCUUGCCUUCUUCCUAUAGCAGUUUGUUCAGCUCGUUAUGCUAAGUUUGUCAUAAAAUGUAAUCCAAACCAGAUGACAUGCGAUAAAAUUGGUGAAUCAACUGAAGUGGCCCUUCUGGUAGGGAAAAGGUUAGUCUUCACUUUGAACCUUGUACUUUUUUGUUGUAGUGUUUAUUUUAAUUUAUAUACAUUUUGGAUACAUGUAUAUUAAAGUUUCACAGUGAUUGAUAACUUAACUCCAACCUAUUGACAACUUUAAGUAAAAUCAAUAUCUUUUCCAGCCUACUCUAGUGUUUAGUUUUAUAAACUAUUAGAGUUAGUGUGAAAUUGAACGAGGACCCUUUAUAUUAUUAUUGUCUAAAUUACCCUAUGUUCUUAACAAUUGACUAUCUGAUAUUCUUGAUGAGAAGAUAGUUGUCACUAUACUUCUAUAGUUUUUUAUGAACCCUGCUCUAGUGUUUAGUUUAGUGAUAGUAUCUUCAAUGGAGAUUGUUUCACUUCUCUCAUAUCGUAGGAGCUCUUGUUUCAUCAUACAUGCUGAUAGCAUCCUAGGAAGCUCAACUCUACUCAAGGAUAAAGGACGUGAAUUGGCUAGGUGAUAGCAUAAAGGACAAGGAUAAAGUUUUGAAAGCUCUAAGGCCAUAUACAAUAUCUCAAGCUAAAGAGAUGCAAACUAAGGUUGCUAGACUUCAAUGGCAAAUAAAGAAGCUUUUAAUUGUAGAGGAAGAGCUCAAGCCCAAAGGAGAUGAAUUGUCCAAGUUUUACAAUUAUUUGGUAAUCCAAAUUGAAGUCCAAGAAGAGGAAGAUUGGGUUACCAAAUCAGCCCUUGAAGUCCACCAAUAGGGCUCAAAAUGACCUUAAAAGAGGUCCAAAAGGGGGUGUUUCAAAAGGAGCCCAAUUGGAGUUCAAACCAAUGGCCCAAACUAAUAGUUUUAAGGCCCAAAUCUGCCCCAAAAGGAUUUGGCCGCCCCCCCCGCCCC